UAACAGGAGAGGGUAAACGACUGUGAAGAAAAAGAUAAUGGUGAAAUUGAAGCGGAGUAAAGGACAAGUGGAGUGAAAGAAAAUACCGAAUGGGAUGUCGUCAGUGUCUUCAAUUUCCUUUCGUGAAAAAAAAACUCGCUAACGAAGUGCUCCAGGGAAAAUGGCGUUGAUAUUAGUUCCUGCUAAAUAUUUAUAAUGGCAUCCAGUCCUUCGAGUAAUACUCGUGAGCAUUUCGUCGUCUGAAAAGGAAUGAGCUGGGACAAAAAAAAAUUAGCAAAGCCAGUUUAGUUUUUCGGUUGGGCAAUUGGAGGUGCUCGCCAAUGGACGGCAUGGACUGGGACGAGGAGGGCGCUGUUGGCGAAGCCAGGAAAAGCGGGAAGCAGAAUUUGGUGAAAAGCGGUAGAAUGGCCACGACCAUCCACCAACACACUGACUGAUGCUCGUGGACGUUACCUACUACUAGACUGGGCUGUCCUGUGUGCCACCAGUGCUGCGCUCAAUACUGCAAAACAUUUCCCUCGUGAGUUCAGACUACGUUGGAUCCUUUUUGCAUCCGAGCGAAACGUUCCGCCACCGUCGUACGAGCUGCUUUCCAGUCACACUUUACCUCAGACGACUUUUCAUCGCCUAUUCUUCUAUUCUUCAUUUUUUCUGCAACGUGUCAACCUUCGACCCUUAGCAAGAUUCUACGUAAUUAUGGUAGAAAGCUUAGAAAUUUCCUUCGUCACCUCUGACACGUUCUGACCCCUGGGGCAUGAAGAUAUCCAUCGAAAUUUUAUGGGGCAACUUUCGGGACUGAUUGUACCAGUCUAUCCGUACGUCGCCCUGGUGCAAUGGCGAAGAAAGGCAUACGGAUGGUGAUAAGGGGCAGGAUGAAAGAAGCUGGAGAAUGAGAGGAGUUUUUGCUUGGAAAGGAAAGAGUCAAAGAGAUUUUGCUGGAGAGCAGUAGCGUCUACGACGCAGUGAUUGUUAAACUGAAAUUACUUUGGUGCGUCAGUCCUUUUAAAAAUUCAUAGCAUUCAAGUUGUGUAUCUUGCAUUUCCAUUCGUAAUUUUCAUAUUAUUAUUUGUUCGCAUAAAGGCUAUCGCUGAACUAGUGGAUUCGAAAACCUUGCAGCAAGUGUAGACCUUUAUAUUUUAAUUAUAAUAUAAGAUGUAUUCUAUAAGACCCUCUUCAACUAAUAAAAUGGCCAAUUUACUUGUGAA